rnacentral:rRNA from 1 species
GACGAACCGUGCAAGCGUUAUCCGGAUUCACUGGGUUUAAAGGGUGCGUAGGUGGGUCUGUAAGUCAGUGGUGAAAUCUCCGGGCUUAACUCGGAAACUGCCGUUGAUACUAUAGAUCUUGAAUAUCGCGUAGGUAAGCGGAAUAUGUCAUGUAGCGGUGAAAUGCUUAGAUAUGACAUAGAACACCAAUUGCGAAGGCAGCUUACUUCACGAUCAUUGACACUGAGGCACGAAAGCGUGGGGAGCAAACAGG